rnacentral:rRNA from 1 species
UACGUAGGGUGCAAGCGUUGUCCGGAAUUAUUGGGCGUAAAGGGCUCGUAGGCGGUCCAUCGCGUCGGGAGUGAAAAGCUGGGGCUUAACCCCAGUCCUGCUUCCGAUACGGGUGGACUAGAGGUAGGUAGGGGAGAACGGAAUUCCUGGUGUAGCGGUGAAAUGCGCAGAUAUCAGGAGGAACACCUGUGGUGUAGACAGCUUACUGGACCACUUCUGACGCUGAGACACGAAAGCGUGGGUAGCAAACAGG